CCUUGAGCAAAUGGCCUACCCAUGUUUAAUUUCCCCAAAUCAAUGGUCCAGUUCUCGUAACUUUUCAAGGUCUCAGUAGGAUGUCUUGGGUCCAUCAAGGCCUGGGCUAGUGCAUCAUCAUUCAAUUCAUGAGCAACCCUACCGGGGCGGAACACGCUGUUCCCGACAGAAUAGUUGGCAGGUAGAACAGCACGGAGGCCCGGGUGGUUGAGGAUUCCCGUGUGGGAAUCACUAGACCCCACAC
rnacentral:lncRNA from 1 species